rnacentral:rRNA from 1 species
AUGAACGCUGGCGGCGUGCCUAAUACAUGCCAGUCGAGCGAACAGACGAGGAGCUUGCUCCUCUGACGUUAGCGGCGGACGGGUGAGUAACACGUGGAUAACCUACCUAUAAGACUGGGAUAACUUCGGGAAACCGGAGCUAAUACCGGAUAAUAUAUUGAACCGCAUGGUUCAAUAGUGAAAGACGGUUUUGCUGUCACUUAUAGAUGGAUCCGCGCCGCAUUAGCUAGUUGGUAAGGUAACGGCUUACCAAGGCAACGAUGCGUAGCCGACCUGAGAGGGUGAUCGGCCACACUGGAACUGAGACACGGUCCAGACUCCUACGGGAGGCAGCAGUAGGGAAUCUUCCGCAAUGGGCGAAAGCCUGACGGAGCAACGCCGCGUGAGUGAUGAAGGUCUUCGGAUCGUAAAACUCUGUUAUUAGGGAAGAUCAAAUGUGUAAGUAACUAUGCACGUCUUGACGGUACCUAAUCAGAAAGCCACGGCUAACUACGUG